rnacentral:rRNA from 1 species
AGUCUGGUGCCAGCAGCCGCGGUAAUUCCAGCUCCAAUAGCGUAUAUUAAAGUUGUUGCAGUUAAAAAGCUCGUAGUUGAAAUUUUGAUUGUAGCGGUCAGUCUCACAACAGUGAGUGCUAGAUGUGCUGUGGUCAUGUUUCGUUGGAACGUGUGUGGCAUUGAGUUGUCGUGCAUGGGAAGACGAUCGUUUACUGUGAAAAAAUUAGAGUGUUCAAAGCAGGCUUAUGCCGUUGAAUAUAUUAGCAUGGAAUAAUAAGAUAGGACCAGGGUACUAUUUUGUUGGCUUGUGCACCUUGGUAAUGAUUAAUAGGGACAGUUGGGGAUUCGUAUUGCGGUGUCAGAGGUGAAAUUCUUGGAUUUCCGCAAGACGAGCUACUGCGAAAGCAUUUAUCAAGGAUGUUUUCAUUAAUCAAGAACGAAAGUUAGGGGAUCGAAGAUGAUUAGAUACCAUCGUAGUCUUAACCAUAAACUAUGCCGACAAGGGAUUGGCAGGGUGUGUUUAUGCCUCUGUCAGCACCUUAGGAGAAAUCAUAAGUUUUUGGGUUCCGGGGGGAGUAUGGUCGCAAGGCUCAAACUUAAAGACAUUGACGGAAGGGCACCACCAGGAGUGGAGCCUGCGGCUUAAUUUGACCCAACACGGGAAAACUUACCAGGUCCAGACAUAGUGAGGAUUGACAGAUUGAGAGCUCUUUCUUGAUUCUAUGGGUGGUGGUGCAUGGCCGUUCUUAGUUGGUGGAGUGAUUUGUCUGGUUAAUUCCGUUAACGAACGAGACCCCCGCCUGCUAAAUAGAUGGUCUAGUGAUUUUUCACUGGAAACAUCUUCUUAGAGGGACGUGCGUUCUAUUAGACGCAGGAAGAUGGGGGCAAUAACAGGUCUGUGAUGCCCUUAGAUGUCCUGGGCCGCACGCGCGCUACACUGAUGCAUUCAACGAGUUGCCUUCACCGAGAGGUGUGGGAAAUCUUGGAAUGUGCAUCGUGAUAGGGAUAGAUUCUUGUAAUUUUUAAUCUUGAACGAGGAAUUCCUAGUAAACGCAGAUCAUCAAUCUGCAUUGAUUACGUCCCUGCCCUUUGUACACACCGCCCGUCGCACCUACCGAUUGAAUGGUCCGGUGAAGCCUCGGGAUUGUGAUGACUUUUCUUCAUUGAGAGGUCGUUGCGAGAACUUGUCUAAACCUUAUCAUUUAGAGGAAGGUGAAGUC